rnacentral:rRNA from 1 species
UGGUGGGUUGCCUUGUCAGGUUGAUUCCGGUAACGAACGAGACCUCAGCCUGCUAAAUAGUCACGUUCGCUUUUUGCGGAUGGCCGACUUCUUAGAGGGACUAUUGGCGUUUAGUCAAUGGAAGUAUGAGGCAAUAACA